GACGAACGCUGGCGGCGUGCUUAACACAUGCAAGUCGAACGGAAAGGCCCCUUUGGGGGUACUCGAGUGGCGAACGGGUGAGUAACACGUGAGUAACCUGCCCUUGACUUCGGGAUAACUUCCGGAAACUGGGGCUAAUACCGGAUAGGAAUCCUUGCUGCAUGGUGGGGGUUGGAAAGCUUCGGCGGUUUUGGAUGGACUCGCGGCUUAUCAGCUUGGUGGUGGGGUAGUGGCUUACCUAGGCUUUCACGGGCAGCCGGCCUGAAGGGGGGACCGGCCACAUUGGGAAUGGAAAUGGGCCAAGACUCCUACGGGAGGCAGCAGGGGGGAAAAUUGCAAAAGGGGCGGAAGCCUGAUGCAGCAACGCCGCGUGCGGGGUGACGGCCUUCGGGUUGUAAACCGCUUUCAGCAGGGGCGAAGCUUGUGGUGACGGUACCUGCAGAAGAAGCACCGGCUAACUACGUG
rnacentral:rRNA from 1 species